GGGUUGAAGAAAGGAAGAAGCUUAUGUGUAUAUUGUUAGUGUGGAAACAAUUAGAAACUAGUGUCCUAUCAUUUGAUUGAUCGAGGUUAUGUUCCAUUUGAAUUUUACAUUUAUGAGAUCACUUUGUUAUUUCUAUCAGUUCUUGGAAGAUAUUCAAUAUUUACUUAAGAUUGAAAAUGGAAGAAGCUUAUGUAUUCAUAAGGUGGUAGCAUUUAGAAACUAGAGUCCUGUCAUUUGAUUGAUCGUUAGAGAAGUUAGGUUCCAUUUGAAUUUUCACUUGUGAGAUCAUUUUGUUAUUUCUAUCAGUUCUUGGCAAUUGCUUAGAUUGAAAAGGGAAGAAGCUUAUGUGUAUCUUCAUUAUGUGAAAACACUUUUGAGAUCAUUUUGUUAUUUCUAUCAGUUCUUGGUAAUAUUCUAUAUUUUCUUAAGAUUGAAAAAGGAAGAAGCUUACGUGUAUAUUCAUGAUGUAGAAACAAUUAGGAACUAGCAUUCUGUCUAUUUGAAUGAUCCUUAGAGAUGUUAGGUUUCAUUUGACUUUUACACUUAUGAGAUCACUUUGUUAUUCCUAUCAAUCUUUGGCAAUAUACAGUUUUUCCCCUUGUUUUCAACGUUUUUUUAUAUUAAAAAACUGCUUGUUUUUCAAUCAUAUAUGAUGAUGAUGUGUAUGUUUGUUUGUUUAUGUGCAAUCAUGUGAUGAGGAAGAAGCUUGUGAGAUUGGUGAUGGUGAGGAGGAGCUGGUGGAUGAUGAUGACAGAUAGUAGGUGUUUGAUGUGGAAGAAGAGCAAAGGGUUACGCUUGUGGACAAAGGUGCUACGGAGGAGGAGGAGGGAAAAGAAACGUUUGGUCACGUGGGGGGGGGGAAGGGACUGAUAUUAGGACUCCAGAAGCGUUGAAGGAGAAGCUGAAACAUGAGCAUAUAAUAUGGAUGAGAUAGACUUUGCGUAUGUGUAGGAGGAAUGAGAGAGCAUAAGGAAGAUCCGUCACGUUUUGAGGCGACAAGUAUGACCGGAAACCUUCCCCCCACAAGUUAGAAAUCGUAUUAAUCAUAUGAUGAGGAAGAAGAAGAAGAGUGUGAGUUUGCCGGCAAGAUUGGAGAUGGUCAGGAGGAGAGAGCUUGAGACAAAGAAAGGUGAUGACGGGAGGAGGACGUAAAGAAAGUGUUUGGUCACUGACAUUAGGAUUGUGAAGUACAUUGCUAGUACUGAGGCGAUACACACAAUCCCCUGAGCCGUGUGACUCUUUAAGGUAUUUUUGCUUUAAGAUUUCAAAGAAUUGUUAAGUGCAUUUGUUUUCCUCCCUUGAUGAGUUU